UCGACCCAAGAGCCCUUUGGGUGCGAUUCGAGGCAACACAAUUAUGGAUGAUAUCGCAUCCAUUACCAUUUUUGACUGAAGCAGCUUGUUGUUUGAUGAUCUGCCGGAACUUGAGAUUUUGAGUGCUCAGUUAAAAUAAUUUUUCAAACUCCAUACUAAUGUCCUGUGGAAUUUGUAGGAGCGAUAUGUGGCAAUGGAAGCAAGAAGAAGAAUGUUGCCUGCCAAAAUAUUCCCAAUUUGCUUUGCCUCUAUGGGAUGAUACGAUGGGAAAUCAAACUCCACUUCGAGGAUUUGGUGAUUUCGACUUAGACGAAUUGGAUUUUGGAGAUGAGGUCGAGAAGGGUGUGGAGGAAGCAAACGAGGCAUCAAGAGUGAAAAGGUGUCGUGUUCUAAAUUUUUUUUUCUGAUGAUGAUGGUGCCACAAUCGUCAAUGAGCAUUUGUCCUCUGAAAUACACAGUGGUAGGUGUUUUGUCCCAGUCUCAAGUCGUCAAUCCAUUUUGAUCAAUAUAUCUAGUAGAAGUAAGCAUGCAGAUCGUUAUCUUCGAGGCUGGCUAGCUAUUUUGUACUUUUUUU